UCAUCAUUCCCACUAUGAGCGAGGGAGGUCACCCCUCAGGAUCCACCAUUACCACCAGUGAUAGAUAUAUACAUAAAUAUUUAUUAUGUAGUUAAUGGAACAUAUUGAGAUUAUAUAUAUUUUUUGUGAUAAUGUUCAUGGUAGGCUUAUCUUAGUCUCUGUGUGCGUAGAUGUUUUUAAAUUGAAAAUGAUAUGUGAAGUCUUCGCUAAUUCGAUAGAAGACUUCAACAGAAUGAGCAAGAUACAUAUACAUGUGCCAUACUAAAAGGGCCAAGUUGUUGAUAAACAAACGUGAAAAUAUAAAAAGCUGUCUAUCACUAAAGGGUAAAGGGAAAAAACUGAUCAAUGUGGGUCACAAAUCAAAUCCUAAAUCAAGAUAUUUAUUUGGGGGGUCCUAGGCACAAUCAUCUUGGUAAGUUUAUGUGUCAGUCUAUUAAAAGAUGUCAAAAAAAACUUAUCUGCUUUUGCUGGUAGU